CCUACGGGUGGCAGCAGUGAGGAAUAUUGGUCAAUGGACGAGAGUCUGAACCAGCCAAGUAGCGUGAAGGAUGAAUGCCCUAUGGGUUGUAAACUUCUUUUAUAAAGGAAUAAAACGAGGCACGUGUGCCUUUUUGCAUGUACUUUAUGAAUAAGGAUCGGCUAACUCCGUGCCAGCAGCCGCGGUAAUACGGAGGAGCCGAGCGUUAGCCGGAUUUAUUGGGUUUAAAGGGAGCGUAGAUGGGUUGUUAAGUCAGGUGUGAAAGUUUGCGGCUCAACCGUAAAAUUGCAAUUGAUACUGGCAGUCGUGAGUACAGUUGAGGUAGGCGGAAUUCGUGGUGUAGCGGUGAAAUGCUUAGAUAUCACGAAGAACCCCGAUUGCGAAGGCAGCUUACUAAACUGUGACUGACAUUGAUGCUCGAAAGUGUGGGUAUCAAACAGGAUUAGAUACCCGUGUAGUC
rnacentral:rRNA from 1 species